AUGUUGCACGGAGUGAGCCGACACCGCCGUAAAAAAUGGGUCAACGACGGUCAACGACACUCCUCAACUCUAUUCCCGUUCGUCACCCAGCUCAACAGUCCACCUCGGUGCUCCACCACUGGUCCCUUGAAGAGCUGGCUGCAAGCCGUCCAUUGCUCCGCCCCUAGAUGCUGCCAUGUGGUGGUUGGCCGUCUCACUCCAAUGCACCUCCCUAUUUUUGUGCACUGGUCUCUCUCAAGACUGGAAGUUAUCCCUGAUGUACUCAACACAAGUUCAACAUCAUCAUCUAAAAAGGAAGCAAAAAAGAAAAUCUAUUUACUCAGGGAUGCAGACAAAUUUCCGGAGCACAAUAGACUCAUCGGCGCAUCAGCGACCAUUCAUUCAACAACAGUUCAAUUACAAAAAGAACAUCAGUUCAAGAAAAUAUAUGCAAGAGGAGGUUCAAAGAUGGUCAUGUAG
rnacentral:rRNA from 1 species